rfam:Paraburkholderia caribensis strain Bcrs1W chromosome 1, complete sequence.
UCGCCCACAAUGCCUUUCACGGGAUCAGCACGGAUGCGGCCGGGCAGUAGUGUCUUUGUACACAUCUUCCUGGGCGGUCGGCGGAAAGCGCCGAAGCUCUUCACAGGGGCAUCUCUGCUGGAAUCGUGAUCGGCGUCGAUCGCGCUGAGUAGUCGGUUCCUCCAAUGGUCUCCUCGCGCUAACCCCGUAGCGUGUGGUUUUUAGCGGGCUCCAGGCCCGCUUUUUUUU